AUUGAACGCUGGCGGAAUGCUUUACACAUGCAAGUCGAACGGCAGCACGGGAGCUUGCUCCUGGUGGCGAGUGGCGAACGGGUGAGUAAUGCAUCGGAACGUGCCCUGAAGUGGGGGAUAACGUAGCGAAAGUUACGCUAAUACCGCAUAUUCUGUGAGCAGGAAAGCAGGGGAUCUUCGGACCUUGCGCUGAUUGAGCGGCCGAUAUCAGAUUAGCUAGUUGGUGAGGUAAAGGCUCACCAAGGCGACGAUCUGUAGCGGGUCUGAGAGGAUGAUCCGCCACACUGGAACUGAGACACGGUCCAGACUCCUACGGGAGGCAGCAGUGGGGAAUUUUGGACAAUGGGCGCAAGCCUGAUCCAGCCAUGCCGCGUGAGUGAAGACGGCCUCGGUUGUAAGUACGU
rnacentral:rRNA from 1 species